rnacentral:rRNA from 1 species
AUUGAACGCUGGCGGCAGGCUUAACACAUGCAAGUCGAGCGGGGAAAGGUAGCUUGCUACCUGACCUAGCGGCGGACGGGUGAGUAAUGCUUAGGAAUCUGCCUAUUAGUGGGGGACAACAUUCCGAAAGGAAUGCUAAUACCGCAUACGCCCUACGGGGGAAAGCAGGGGAUCUUCGGACCUUGCGCUAAUCGAUGAGCCUAAGUCAGAUUAGCUAGUUGGUGGGGUAAAGGCCUACCAAGGCGACGAUCUGUAGCGGGUCUGAGAGGAUGAGCCGCCACACUGGGACUGAGACACGGCCCAGACUCCUACGGGAGGCAGCAGUGGGGAAUAUUGGACAAUGGGCGAAAGCCUGGUCUAGCCAUGCCGCGUGUGUGAAGAAGGCCUUUUGGUUGUAAAGCACUUUAAGCGAGGAGGAGGCUACUUGGAUUAAUACCCUAGGAUAGUGGACGUUACUCGCAGAAUAAGCACCGGCUAACUCUGUGCCAGCCGCCGCCGUAA